AGAGUUUGAUCCUGGCUCAGGAUAAACGCUAGCGGCAGGCCUAACACAUGCAAGUCGAGGGGCAUCGGAUAGAGUACUUCGGUACUCUUGCCGGCGACCGGCGGACGGGUGCGUAACGCGUAUGCAACCUACCUUCAACAGGGGGAUAAUCCGAAGAAAUUUGGUCUAAUACCCCAUAAUAUUCCGACAGGCAUCUGUUGGAGUUGAAAGCUUCGGUGGUUGGAGAUGGGCAUGCGUUGUAUUAGCUAGAUGGUGAGGUAACGGCUCACCAUGGCGAUGAUACAUAGGGGGACUGAGAGGUUUUCCCCCCACACUGGUACUGAGACACGGACCAGACUCCUACGGGAGGCAGCAGUGAGGAAUAUUGGUCAAUGGACGGAAGUCUGAACCAGCCAUGCCGCGUGCAGGAUGAAUGUGCUAUGCAUUGUAAACUGCUUUUGUACGAGGGUAAACACAGAUACGCGUAUCUGCUUGAAAGUAUCGUACGAAUAAGGAUCGGCUAACUCCGUGCCAGCAGCCGCGGUAAUACGGAGGAUCCGAGCGUUAUCCGGAUUUAUUGGGUUUAAAGGGUGCGUAGGCUGUUUUUUAAGUUAGAGGUGAAAGCUCGACGCUCAACGUCGAAAUUGCCUCUGAUACUGAGAGACUAGAGUGUAGUUGCGGAAGGCGGAAUGUGUGGUGUAGCGGUGAAAUGCUUAGAUAUCACACAGAACACCGAUUGCGAAGGCAGCUUUCCAAGCUAUUACUGACGCUGAGGCACGAAAGCGUGGGGAGCGAACAGGAUUAGAUACCCUGGUAGUCCACGCAGUAAACGAUGAUAACUCGUUGCCGGCGAUACACAGUCGGUGACUUAGCGAAAGCGUUAAGUUAUCCACCUGGGGAGUACGUUCGCAAGAAUGAAACUCAAAGGAAUUGACGGGGGCCCGCACAAGCGGAGGAACAUGUGGUUUAAUUCGAUGAUACGCGAGGAACCUUA
rnacentral:rRNA from 1 species